rnacentral:lncRNA from 1 species
CAAACAUCAACGACAAAGUGUUGUUGGUGCAAGCAACUUUGCAGUGGCAAAUCAUUGGUGUAAAACAGUCAGGGUCCUGAACAACAAGGGACAUUCCUUUCGAGCUGCGGCAGUGGCAGCUCGCUGGGGGACCCGACCACGGUGCUCACCCGGCACAUGGAGCGACAGCCUAGAGGCGGCGGCCACUUCGAUCGCUGGCCCCGGCGCCCCGCGCGGCCAUCCCAGCGCCGGGGUAGAAGCCACGCCGCGGAGUUGUCAUGAAGACUAGAGACGAUAAACAACACCUUCCCGUGGUCAGCCUUGGUAGUCCAUGCAAUUUUUUAAGAAGAGGUGGUUCAUGGUGGAAGGGAAAAGCGUGUAAUGGACACCAGGAGCCAUGAUGUUUCUUCCUAUUGACUGCGUGACUUCGAGCAAGUUACUCCCUCUCUGAGCCACAGUUCCCUUGUCUGUUGAGAUGAAAUGGGUACGCUAGAGUAUCUCUAAGUUUGCUUUCAGUGCUGAAGUUCUCUGAGUGGUUCUUACAAAUAAAGGAUCUGAGAUGUAAAGGAAAUUUGAGAAG